rnacentral:rRNA from 1 species
UACAGAGGGGGCAAGCGUUAUUCGGAAUUAUUGGGCGUAAAGGGCGCGUAGGCGGCUUUGCAAGUGACGGGUGAAAUCCCUCGGCUUAACCGAGGAACUGCCUGUCAAACUGCAUGGCUUGAGACCGGGGAGAGGUGAGUGGAAUUCCCAGUGUAGCGGUGAAAUGCGUAGAUAUUGGGAGGAACACCAGUGGCGAAGGCGGCUCACUGGACCGGUACUGACGCUGAUGCGCGAAAGCGUGGGGAGCAAACAGG